GACGAACGCUGGCGGCGUGCUUAACACAUGCAAGUCGAACGGAAAGGCCCUGCUUUUGUGGGGUGCUCGAGUGGCGAACGGGUGAGUAACACGUGAGUAACCUGCCCUUGACUUUGGGAUAACUUCAGGAAACUGGGGCUAAUACCGGAUAGGAGCUCCUGCUGCAUGGUGGGGGUUGGAAAGUUUCGGCGGUUGGGGAUGGACUCGCGGCUUAUCAGCUUGUUGGUGGGGUAGUGGCUUACCAAGGCUUUGACGGGUAGCCGGCCUGAGAGGGUGACCGGCCACAUUGGGACUGAGAUACGGCCCAGACUCCUACGGGAGGCAGCAGUGGGGAAUAUUGCACAAUGGGCGGAAGCCUGAUGCAGCAACGCCGCGUGCGGGAUGACGGCCUUCGGGUUGUAAACCGCUUUCGCCUGUGACGAAGCGUGAGUGACGGUAAUGGGUAAAGAAGCACCGGCUAACUACGUGUCAGCAGCCGCGGUGAUACGUAGGGUGCGAGCGUUGUCCGGAUUUAUUGGGCGUAAAGGGCUCGUAGGUGGUUGAUCGCGUCGGAAGUGUAAUCUUGGGGCUUAACCCUGAGCGUGCUUUCGAUACGGGUUGACUUGAGGAAGGUAGGGGAGAAUGGAAUUCCUGGUGGAGCGGUGGAAUGCGCAGAUAUCAGGAGGAACACCAGUGGCGAAGGCGGUUCUCUGGGCCUUUCCUGACGCUGAGGAGCGAAAGCGUGGGGAGCGAACAGGCUUAGAUACCCUGGUAGUCCACGCUGUAAACGGUGGGUACUAGGUGUGGGGUCCAUUCCACGGGUUCCGUGCCGUAGCUAACGCUUUAAGUACCCCGCCUGGGGAGUACGGCCGCAAGGCUAAAACCCAAAGGAAUUGACGGGGCCCCGCACAAGCGGCGGAGCAUGCGGAUUAAUUCGAUGCAACGCGUAGAACCUUACCUGGGUUUGACAUGGAUCGGGAGUGCUCAGAGAUGGGUGUGCCUCUUUUGGGGUCGGUUCACAGGUGGUGCAUGGCUGUCGUCAGCUCGUGUCGUGAGAUGUUGGGUUAAGUCCCGCAACGAGCGCAACCCUUGUUCACUGUUGCCAGCACGUUAUGGUGGGGACUCAGUGGAGACCGCCGGGGUCAACUCGGAGGAAGGUGGGGAUGACGUCAAGUCAUCAUGCCCCUUAUGUCCAGGGCUUCACGCAUGCUACAAUGGCUGGUACAGAGAGUGGCGAGCCUGUGAGGGUGAGCGAAUCUCGGAAAGCCGGUCUCAGUUCGGAUUGGGGUCUGCAGCUCGACCUCAUGAAGUCGGAGUCGCUAGUAAUCGCAGAUCAGCAACGCUGCGGUGAAUACGUUCCCGGG
rnacentral:rRNA from 1 species